rnacentral:tRNA from 1 species
GGGGCUGUGGCGCAGCUGGGAGCGCGUGUGACUGGCAGUCACAAGGUCACGGGUUCGAGCCCCGUCAGCUCCA